GACGAACGCUGGCGGCGUGCUUAACACAUGCAAGUCGAACGAAGUGGCGAACGGGUGAGUAACGCGUAAUCAACCUGCCCUUCAGAGGGGGACAACAGUUGGAAACGACUGCUAAUACCGCAUACUGAAGGUGGGGAUUGCGUCGGCUUCGCUAGUUGGAGGGGUAACGGCCCACCAAGGCGAUGAUCAGUAGCCGGUCUUGGAGGAUGAACGGCCACAUUGGGACUGGGACACGGGCCAGAAUCCUACGGGAGGCAGCAGUUGGGAAUCAUCCGCAAAGGACGAAAGUCUGACGGCGCAACGGCGCGUGAGUGAUGACAGCCUUCGGGUUGGAAAGCUCUGUUAAUCGGGGCGCGGUACCGGAAUAGAAAGCCACGGCUAACUACGUGCCAGCAGCCGCGGUAAUUC
rnacentral:rRNA from 1 species